ACCCACCCUGUCAACUUUCCCUGUGGGAGGAAACCGGAGUACCCGGGGAAAACCCACGGCUUUCGGCAGAGCGUUGACUUUUACUCUUUCCGCAUGAGGACUGGGUUCGAGUCGCACUGAGAAGGUACUUAGUGAGAUUCGAACCUGCAGCCUCAGAGGUGAAAGGCAAGUGCGCUAACCACUUGGCCACCGAAGCUCCAUGUCAACCAUAUCUACCCCCAUAUCUUAUAUGUUAACCCAUUAAGUUGCAGCACUCUCCCCCUGACAAGUAAAAUCAUCUGGCAUUAGACAGAGUAAAAUAAUAAAUAAAGUA